AAUCAACGCUGGCGGCGUGCCUCAGACAUGCAAGUCGAACGCGAAAGUCCCCUUCGGGGGAUGAGUAGAGUGGCGUCCGGGUGAGUAACACGUAGGUAAUCUACCUCUGGGUGGGGAAUAACCCCGAGAAAUCGGGGCUAAUACCGCAUAAUGCAGCGGCACCACAUGGUGACAGUUGUUAAAGCGGGGGAUCGCAAGACCUCGCGCCUAAAGAGGAGCCUGCGGCGGAUUAGCUAGUUGGUAGGGUAACGGCCUACCAAGGCAACGAUCCGUAGCCGGCCUGAGAGGGCGGUCGGCCACACUGACACUGAAAUACGGGUCAGACUCCUACGGGAGGCAGCAGUCGGGAAUUUUGGGCAAUGGGCGAAAGCCUGACCCAGCAACGCCGCGUGAAGGAU
rnacentral:rRNA from 1 species